rnacentral:rRNA from 1 species
UGGGGAAUAUUGCACAAUGGGCGAAAGCCUGAUGCAGCAACGCCGCGUGAGUGAUGAAGGCCUUCGGGUUGUAAAGCUCCGUCUUCUGGGACGAUAAUGACGGUACCAGAGGAGGAAGCCACGGCUAACUACGUGCCAGCAGCCGCGGUAAUACGUAGGUGGCAAGCGUUGUCCGGAUUUACUGGGCGUAAAGGAUGCGUAGGCGGAUACUUAAGUCAGAUGUGAAAAUCCCGGGCUUAACUUGGGAACUGCAUUUGAAACUGGGUAUCUAGAGUGCGGGAGAGGAAAGUGGAAUUCCUAGUGUAGCGGUGAAAUGCGUAGAGAUUAGGAAGAACACCAGUGGCGAAGGCGACUUUCUGGACCGUAACUGACGCUGAGGCAUGAAAGCGUGGGGAGCAAACA